rnacentral:rRNA from 1 species
UACGGAGGGGGCUAGCGUUGUUCGGAAUUACUGGGCGUAAAGCGUGCGUAGGUGGUUCGUUAAGUCUGAUGUGAAAGCCCUGGGCUCAACCUGGGAAUGGCAUUGGAAACUGGCGACCUAGAGUGCGGUAGAGGGUAGUGGAAUUCCCGGUGUAGCAGUGAAAUGCGUAGAGAUCGGGAGGAACACCAAUGGCGAAGGCAGCUCGCUGGGACGUUACUGACGCUGAGACGCGAAAGCGUGGGGAGCAAACAGG